AGUAACAAUAGCAAAAGGGAUCACCUGAUACCAUUCCGAACUCAGUAGUUAAGCCUUUUUACGCCGAAAAUACUAGAAAUAGGAAAAUAGGAAGUUACUC
rnacentral:rRNA from 14 species